rnacentral:rRNA from 1 species
GUUGAACGCUGGCGGCAUGCCUAAUACAUGCAAGUCGAACGAGAGGAAGGAAAGCUUGCUUUUCUGAAUCUAGUGGCGAACGGGUGAGUAACACGUAGGUAACCUGCCCAUGUGCCCGGGAUAACUUCUGGAAACGGAUGCUAAAACCGGAUAGGUAGCAGACAAGCAUUUGACUGCUAUUAAAGUGGCUAAGGCCAUGAACAUGGAUGGACCUGCGGUGCAUUAGCUAGUUGGUGAGGUAACGGCCCACCAAGGCGACGAUGCAUAGCCGGCCUGAGAGGGCGGACGGCCACAUUGGGACUGAGACACGGCCCAAACUCCUACGGGAGGCAGCAGUAGGGAAUUUUCGUCAAUGGGGGGAACCCUGAACGAGCAAUGCCGCGUGAGUGAGGAAGGUCUUCGGAUCGUAAAGCUCUGUUGUAAGAGAAAAACGACAUUCAUAGGGAAUGAUGAGUGAGUGAUGGUAUCUUACCAGAAAGUCACGGCUAACUACGUGCCAGCAGCCGCCGCGGUAA